GGAAGUAAAAGUCGUAACAAGGUCUCCGUUGGUGAACCAGCGG
rnacentral:rRNA from 3 species